UACAUACGGCAGGCGGCUGGCAGAGGUUAAGGCCUGACUUCUGCUCCCAGUCGACCCAGUCGAUCUGGGUUCAAAUCCGCCUGCCGACUCCUCGGGUGUUUGAGGAGUGAUGAAAUGGGAGGUGGCCCCCAUCAUAUGGACGGUGUAGGACGUGAUAAUAUCAACUUGCGAGCUGACCAGGAACUAAGUUGAUGCGCCGUUGAUCCGCUAGAUUUGGUUGGAUGCUGGUGGUGAGUUGCCGAACCCAACGAAUACAUUCUGAAGUCGGAUGGGGUGACGGAUUAGGGUGCCCCUCUAGCAGGGGAGAGCAGGGACUGCCCCGGGAAAGGGGGCCGCUGGCGAAGUUAACCACCCUGUAACAACAUACAUACAUACGCAUCCCCACCCGCGCCCCCAGCCACCUUGGUUAGCACCGCCUCCUGCAGAUUAGUGUUGGACAGAUCCGCAUCCGCCAGCAGGGCGCCAGCCAGCACCCGACCAUGGAGGUCCUUGCCACUGUACGAACACAGCCGCAGAUCCAGGAUCUUGUCCGACACGGCGUUCGCCUGAAGGGAGCGGGGGAGCGGGGGGUCAGCCAGCAGUACGGAAAAGGAGCAGGUGGAGAAUGCGAUUCAAGACUACUGCUGCUACUAUUAAUGCUACUGUUGCUACAGCUAUUGCCACUGCUGCUGCGAGCGGUGGUUCGAUAACAUCAGCCCGGGCUAGCUACCCCUUGACGUGCGCCAUCGCGCCCGUCCGUCUGUGUCACUGUGUGCAUGUCUGGCUUUGACGCCCCGUCCACACACCCCUCCCCCCCACAACGGCCUUUAGCAAACCCCGCGUACUUCAUUACCAUCCACAGUGCUGACAGACAGGCAUACAGACGGACAGGCACGCGAAGUCCUGGGAGAGGUGCAGCCGGCGGCCUGCUGUGCAGGUCUCCGCCUCCGCACCCCCCACCCACCCACCCACGAACCCAACGUACCCCCCCAGCCCCACCUGGCCGAUGGUGUUGCCCACAUAGCCCCGGUCGCAGCGGUUGGGAUCUGCGAGGAAGGCCAGGAGGAGGGGCAGGAGGAGGGCCACGAGGGGACGGGGGCCGGGAAGGGGGGGGUUCAGCCAACCCGUCGGCCCCUGCUGGACAGGAACCCGCACAGCACGGCCUCCCCCACCGCCUCCCUCCGUCCCGCCCUUCCUCCAACAUCACCCCCACACAGACCCCGAGUCCCUCCUCCCCCGGGCCACCACCCGGCCCAUUCGAACCUGGCCCUGUCUUAUUCGUCCCUUACCCACCUUCCCUUCACGUCCUGCUGGCCCCUUGCCCCCUCGCCCGCUCGCCCGCCCCGCGCCCCUCCCUACCGUUGUCGAUGGGCGGCAGUCGGAACUCCGCCAGUGCCAGGUUGGCGGCCAGCAGGUUGGCGGCCAGGCAGGACAGCCCGGCAGCGGCCACAGCGCCACCGGAGGAGAGGAGGGAGGGGCGGCCCUCGGGGGAGGGGGAAGCUGUUGGAGGCCGGAGCGGGGUUAGAGGGAAGGGGGAGGAGAAGGGGGACGAGAACAGAUGAAGGUGUGUUUUGACACGGGUGCGGAUGGAUGUGGCGAGUCACGAAGGGUAGAUGGCGGGGCCCGGGACGUUCGCCAGGGUGGAGGAAACAGUUGGCUUUGUGAACGGGAGCUGGUAAUGCAAGCAAGGUCUCAAUGGAUCGGGCAUUGGUCCCAUUGUGAAUUCGCUGGCGCGGAAGAUCCAUAACGAGCAGGACUUUUGCCAGCAAGCUUACGACCUAAAUUGUCGCGGGACACAAGCUCUGAGUCCGGAUCUUUCAUGCAAGGCAACGUGAACAAUUUAACACCCCACCAACCAAGCAGUAAGAAACACGCCUAGCGACGCUGCGAUGCAGUAGCGCGAAUUGAUGUCACGGUCGGUACCAUGCCAGGCUUGAGUUUUCGCACCUUGACAGCGAACAACCGCAACCGGGUUGCGCACAAAUGGGGCGGGCCUCUUAGCCAUUGCAGCGCGAUGCAUCUUUAGGGCCAUUCCGUCGUCACGCUUGGCUGAGGUUUGCUGUCUUCACGAAUAAAUGUAUUGUCUUCCAGCUUUUAUGAGAAGUAGCAAUGGCAAGUAUACAAAACAAUAUGAUAACUUGUCAAAAACAUAUCCGGAUAACUUGGUCCAUGCUGGUUUUGGACAUAUGUGGUUUGCAAUCCGUUCAUGGAUGACAGAUGCACAGCCAGCCAGCCAGCACCAGCAGAAUGCAAUGCUCUACCUAGUCAUUUUUACGUGGUCAUAUUCACAAUGGUGGUCAUAAGCAUAUUCACCAUCUAUGGUUCUGCCAACCUGACCUUACGACUCAAAGGUCAGCCGACGGCCAUCGCGAGCCCCCUGCCGCAACCUCAGCUGCUCCCCGGCAGCUCAUUUUUCCCAGCAUAGCCCUGUAGUAUCAUAUUGUCCCGCUGAGGCCUGCAAAAUUUGUGCCUUACCUGGCCGGGCACCUGAACUCGCGGUCGGCGUCCCUGAUUCUUGUCUAUCCAGGUCUAUCCUUGGUUCAACUGCCUCAAGGCCUUGGCACAGAGGAAAAACGUACUAAGGAUCCCUAUUGGCUAUUUAGUAAUACCAGUACAAAGUAAGCCGUUAUUCCAUAGGUUAGUCUUGCAAUAUGCCUGGAGGCCCCUUCCUGGUGGGGUGGGUCGAAUGUUGCCGACACAAGUUCCGCCGGCAUUACAACGCCAGCACUGGAGGACCAGUCGAUGGGUACGGGAUAAGGCUGCAGUUGAAUGUGGUGGCUGGCGCGGUGGCAAAGUCAGGCAGCACAUGCGGUUGGGAACAGCGUACGGGCAGUCGGACGCCGGCGGAAGCCCGGACACGUGCACCGGCGGGUCAGUGGGGACUCGCUCUCUCAGCCGCUCGCUCAGCUCAUCAUCAUCACAUCCAUCACCCCUAGGUAGAGGGGUUGCGGUGUGUGUGUGGACGGAGGUAGGAGGGGAAAGCGGAAUAUCCCCAAUCGCUACUGCCUGCCCGAUUGGUUCCCCGGCACAUCUGUACCGGACUGCGGCCGGCAAGACAAGGCACUGGUCGUCUGCAAAUGAAUCACCUGCAAGCAGCAGUGCUGUAGGGACGAAGCAUGGUGAUAUCCCGGCCGAGUUGUCGCAAGCAAGGCCCACUGCGCUUUCACCAACCUGGUUCUCGACAUGCAUACAUACAUGCAGGGUUAUGUAGGGUUUGGCACCACUGGUAAGGCGCGACCACUGCCCCCGGGAGAUCCCGGGAUCGUUACCCGUUAGGGUCAAAGUCCUUCCGAUGGUGGAAGGCAUUGCGCCCCUAGUUGAUGGACGGUGGUGACCUGGGAUAUAGUUAACCUGCGAGCCAACCAGGAAUGGAGUUGCGCCGCUGUCGACCCGGCAGAUUCCGUUGGAUGCUGGUGGUGGGUGCGGAACCUGAGCGAUCCACUGAGAAGUUGACUAGGGUGACUGGAUGAGGGGCCCCGAAAUACCGGGGAAGGCAGAGUUUUGCAGGGUAGCUGCCACGGGCGAAGAUACACCCCCCUGUUUCACACAUCAUACAUGCAUGCAUACGUACAGGCAGGCGGCUGGCAGAGGUUAAGGCCUGACUUCUGCUCCCGGCCGGCCCGGGUUCAAAUCCGCCUGCCGGCUCCUCGGGUGUUUGAGGAGUGUUGAAAUGGGAGGUGGCCCCCCAUCAUACGGACGAUGUAGGACGUGAUAAUAUCAACUUGCGAGCUGACCAGGAACUAAGUUGAGGCGCCGAUGAUCCGCUAGAUUUGGUUGGAUGCUGGUGGUGAGUUGCCGAACCCAACGAAUACAUUCUGAAGUCGGAUGGGGUGACGGAUUAGGGUGCCCCUCUAGCAGGGGAGAGCAGGGACUGCCUCGGGAAAGGGGGCCGCUGGCGAAGUUAACCACCCUGUAACAACAUACGUACGGAUAGGAUGCAUAGGGAGGGAUCCCGGGGUUGUGCUCAUGUGGCGGUAUUCGAGCCACCUAGCAGGUAGGCGGCGAGGACCAGAAGCAGGAGGGAUCACCGAAUGCCGAACUGCGCUGCUGUUGAGCCUGCUAUGUCCCUUGUCUUCGCUCCUCGGACCGCAAGGACGGCCGGUAUUUGAUAUGCGACUCCUAAAGGGCCCUCAGGUCUGUUGCCACCUCACCUCAUGUCGUCGUAUCCGGCAUGUAUAUCUCAUGUCGUAUCAUGUCGUAUACGUUUUCCUUCGCCUCCCGGUUUCCAGGCCUCCCCCACCACCACGGGGUUACCCCCCUCUCUCCCCCC
rnacentral:lncRNA from 1 species